rnacentral:rRNA from 1 species
AUUGAACGCUGGCGGCAGGCCUAACACAUGCAAGUCGAGCGGAUGAAGCGAGCUUGCUCCUGGAUUCAGCGGCGGACGGGUGAGUAAUGCCUAGGAAUCUGCUUGGCAGUGGGGGAUAAUGUCCGGAAACGGGCGCUAAUACUGCCUACGUCCUGAGGCUGCUGGUGGGGGGUCUUCGGACCUCUCGCUUUCAGAUGAGUCUAGGUCGGAGUUGCUAGUUUGUGGGGUAAAGGCCUACCAAGGGGACGUUCGGUAACUGGUCUGCUAGGGGGGUCAGUCACGUUGGAGGUGAGACAGGUUCCUCGGUCCUACGGGAUGCAGCAGUGUGUAAUAUUGGGCAGUGGGCGGAAGCAUUGUCCAACCGUGCCACGUGUGUGAAGAAAGUCUUCGGUUUGUAAAGCAGUGUAAGUUGGGAGGAAGGGCAUUAAGUUAAGACCUUGCUGUAUUGACGGUACCAACAGAAGAAGCACCGGCUAACUACGUG